GCUCUUAUCGUCUAGUGGUUUAGGACAUCUUUUUUUCAGAAAGAAAACGAGGAUUCAAAUUCCUUUAAGAGUA
rfam:Eimeria maxima Weybridge genomic scaffold, Emw_scaff527